rnacentral:rRNA from 1 species
AUUGAACGCUGGCGGAAUGCUUUACACAUGCAAGUCGAACGGUAGAGGGGGCAACCCCUCGAGAGUGGCGAACGGGUGAGUAAUAUAUCGGAACGUGCCCAGUCGUGGGGGAUAACGUAGCGAAAGUUACGCUAAUACCGCAUACGAUCUAAGGAUGAAAGCGGGGGAUCGCAAGACCUCGCGCGAUUGGAGCGGCCGAUAUCAGAUUAGGUAGGUGGUGGGGUAAAGGCUCACCAAGCCAACGAUCUGUAGCUGGGCUGAGAGGACGACCGGCCACUGGAACUGAGACACGGUCCAGACUCCUACGGGAGGCAGCAGUGGGGAAUUUUGGACAAUGGACGCAAGUCUGAUCCAGCCAUUCCGCGUGCAGGAUGAAGGCCCUCGGGUUGUAAACUGCUUUUGUACGGAACGAAAAGGUCUCUCUUAAUACGGGGGACUCAUGACGGUACCGUAAGAAUAAGCACCGGCUAACUACGUGCCAGCCGCCGCGGUAAGAC